rnacentral:lncRNA from 1 species
CUGGUGGUCCAAGGAGGGGCUUGUUCUUUAUGUUCCUCUUUGUUUUGUUCUUCUUUCAAUCCAUAUCAAGGUGAGUGCGUGACUAUGGCUGAUCUAAGCAUGUUUAACCUUUCUUAUGUGUGUUUGAUUGAUUUGGAUGGCUGGAUUUGUUUUGUGUGGCCAUGUUUGUGUGUUUUGGUUGCUGUUAUUGUAUGUUUGAGUGUUAGGGCUCAUGGCUGGAGCUUUUGAGGUGUUGGAUUCGUUCUCUGGGGAGUUGAGAGGCGAUUUUAGGGUUUCUGCGGGAUCGGUGUCGCUCGACACCAGUCUGGUGUCGCUCGACACCAAAUUUCUAGACAGUUUUUCUGGACAGCGUGUAUUUCGUGUCUUUUUAUGCCUGGUUUGUUUGUUCUGGUUAAUAUGAUACAUGUUAGAUUGGUUUAAUAUGCUUGUGUGUAUAGCCCAGUGGAUGGGAGGAUCGCUUCACUGAGUAUUUGUGAUAAUACUCACGCAUCUCAUUGUAUUUGUGGUGCAG